UGCCCCGUGCAGCCGGUGCCCUGUGCAGCUGGUGCCCCGUGCAGCCGGUGCCCUGUGCAGCCGGUGCCCUGUGCAGGCCCUGUGGCAUUAGCUUGAGCUGCCCUGUGACAUUAGCAGGCCCUGUGACAUUAGCUUGAGCACCUUGCAUGGGUCUCCCUUGUUUUCUUAGACAUUUAAGUAAGGGCUUGGCUCAGAAAAGACUUCCAGGUCACUUUCUGAUCAAAAAAGAAAUAGCAGGAUUUUAUGAAUUAUGCUAAAUGGAUGUAGUGGCUUUUAAGUAAAUGUCAAAAAGAAAACAAUGAGCAAAGUGUGAACUGUACCAGUAAAGUGCCAUGCUCAUUCUGACAUCAGCACUUUGGGGAUAGUUGUUUAGCUCUUCAGUGUCAGAAUUAUCUGUAGACUCUUCUAAAAUACCUCGCAUAUUAUCUUGGACUUCCAAGUGAAAAGGUGUGCUCUCCUGAAAACCAUUAUCUUAAUAGCCGCAUGAAUUUGUUAAAACCAUUUUCCACCUGGAAUGGUGGUCACCACACAUAGCUUAAAUCUGGAAUGCUAUGAAAAUAAUAGACAGUGGUGACAAUAAUGAAAUAACAACAGCUAAUAUUUAUUACCAUUUUACGAUACAGUGGAUCUGUCACAACUAUAAUCAUAAUGAACUAACUUGCUAGAGAGACUGGGUAAGAAUGGGUUAAUUAUUAAGAUCCACUUUUGGAUGAGAAAAUUAGACACAAGGCUGUCCAGCAUGACACCUGUGCCUGCUGCUUCCUCUGCAGUCCUUUCUCCAGAGGAUGUGCUGUUGACAGCCAGGUGCUGCUAAAGUAAUCCCCUCAAAUUGCCUUAUGGAAGGGAAUAAAAUAUAACUUCAUAUCAAGGUCAAUAUCUAAGUUCACAGACUCUAUUCUGGAGAAGAUAGACCUCUGUUUCAGGCUGUCUGCUCUCUGUGUGCCCUGACAUCUAUAAUAUGGCAUAACCAGUCUGCUGGUUUCACCAAAAGGCAUCAUGGUUGCUUUGCACCUCACAGUGGGAGGAUGAGAAGGGAUAGAAAUGGCAGACUCCCAUAGAUGAAAGUCAUCACAGAGCACCCAUGUCUGUUUUGCAAAGACAGUGUGCCUGCGCAUCAGCCCUGGGUUGACGUGGAGCCAAGAAGCCCUCCCUGUUUUCUUCAGUCAUAUCUGAGUUAGUCCCUCUGCACUUGGCUCCCUGUUGUGAGUGCCCUGGGGGAGUCCAUGUUUUGUAUGGUUGUUCCUAAGCAUGUAUCUCUCCUGAUCCAAGAUUCAUAUAUUCUUCUGCCUUUUCCAUAUUCACAAGGGUCUUCGUCAGCAACUCCCACUUAUGGCACCGGCUUGAGAGGACACUGCUUAGCUGCCCUUUGCUGUUAUCUAAACAGAUGCCAGCUCUGCUCCUUGAUGGCUUUGUGAUUUAUGCUAGCCAGUGGCUAAUCUGCCUGUUUACCCCACCCUGAACAUUUUCAUUUCUUUUCUUGCUCCUGGAGUGCUGGCCUACUCAGUGAAGCCAGUAGAUUCCUUGUCCUCCUCCCUUCCAUAUUUUUGUUUUUUGUUCUUGUUUUUUUUCCCCCUUUUAUAUUAUUUCACAUCUCACAUGUUUUUGUAGUUAAAUUUGAUUUUAAAAGUAGAUCAAAUGUUUUUUACUGCUAUCUUAAAUAUCAAGUAUGUUAAGAAAGAUCUGGGGCCGGGUGAGUUGUUAUAAACUAUUUUUAACUUGACUGAAACUACCAGCAGUAAGAAAGAGAAUCUGUAAAUGUCUCUCUAAAUCGGGUACCAUUGACCAUUCCUUGUCUUUCUUUCCUGGUUUGGACUCCGCUGCUGGUAGGAAAAUUUUUUACUUAAGUAAAAUAAAACUUCAUAAAUCUUGGCUUAACCUGAAGAGCCAUUCUUGGUUUCUUUUCCAGCUGCCCUCCAUAGUUUUUCCUGGAACCUUCUGUUCCCUCUGGACCACAGUUCCAUUAAUUCAAGAUCUUCUCCCCUUUGCCCCUCUUCUCGGGUCACUCCAGGGUGAUCACCGGUGAUAUGAUGACAGCUUUAAUUUCAGUUCAUUUGGCUUAGUGAUGAGCAUAUAGAGCCACACUACUGGGGGUCCCUCCUGCUGACCCUGUGCUGCUUGCACCUUUACUUCAGUGUUUCUUACACCAACUGCAUCUUUUACGUUCAUUAUGGCCAUCAUCCUCUAGGAGAGAGAACUGAGUCCUGGGUAUGCACAAGAGCAGCAGAGCAUGUGACUUCCUUGGUCUGGUCCCAUUCUAAAACCUAUAACCUUCCCACUGUUCACUUCAAGUCCACUCUCCAGCAAGACUUGCUAAUAUUUUCUCCUCAAAAGCACCCAUAAGGAAAUCUAGACAGCGGUUCUCAACCUUCCCGAUGCUGCAGCCCUUACAACAGUUCAUCAUGUUGUGGUGACCGCCAACCAUAAAAUUAUUUCAUUCCUAUUUCACAACUUAAUUUUGCCACUGUUAUGAAUUGUAAAACAAGUGUCUGAUACGCAGGAUAUCUGAUAUGUGACCCCUGCGAAGGAGUCGUUUGACCCCCAAAGAGUCUGCAACCUACAGAUUGAGAGCUGCUGGUCUAACAGACAUUCUGUAUUGCAUGCCUUUGAAAGUAAGAAGAGUCAACAUAUUUCUGCACUAUAAGCUUAGUUCAUGUUAAAUGGCACUUUUUAUUUGCAGCAUGUAUAUAAUUUACCACCUUAACAGGAUAGAACAUCUUGUUCAGCAGAAAUAACUCAAGGAUAGUGAAAAUAGAUAUUUACACAGUUUUGACCAAGAUGGCAACAUUGUAAUUACCUUCACCUUCUGCUCAUGCUUAUGUGAAUACCCCAUAGUUACCAAUGUGGAAUCUUCUGUACUGUGAAUCAAAAGUUCCUCCAGUAUCAGGAGAUUCCCCUAGCAGGCUCCAAAUGUUAAGUUUAUUAUCUUACUAUCUUUUAAAGCAUUUGGGGGCUCUUGGUAGAUGGAUAAGGACAACUUUAUUUCUAAAGUGUUUAAGUUUAUUGUUUAUAUUUAGAUUAUUCAAGGAAAGAGGCAUUGGAGUUGGAAGAGGGGUCCACACAGCAACUCGUGCCACCAAACAGUGGAGCCAGUUUUGUUCCAGGGUUUUAGCAGAGUUCAGGAUAGCUAAGGUUUGAGUUCUGCUUACAUUUGGCUAAGCACUACUUCCUGUUUCUGAACAAAGAAACCUUAAUGAGAUCUGGACAUGAUGUACAGAAGUGAUUUGUAAGAGGGAAGAAUAAAUGACUUGGAAAUGUGUCUAGGUUAGUUUUCCAUGAAGCAGUCUCCUCCCACCUUCACCUCCCUUGCAAGGCUAGGUUGGUCCUAUGAACAACUGGGACACUUUGCCAGAUUGGUGAUGGCCACUAAAUCACACUGUCCCUGAUACAAGAAACCAGAGGUGCAGUUCCUCAGUAGAAGCUCAGUCCUGCUAGAGAAGAGUGGCCCAGCUACUUCCAGGACUCUUGAUCUUUUGAGCAUGACAUAAAUUGAGGUGCAAGAAGAGAGGAAAAUCUCCAGAUACCUACAGGAUUAAUUCAUGAAGAAAAAAAUAAUCAACAUCACAAAGUCUUGUGAUGAGAACGAAGGAACACCCCAGAACACACCAAAAGCAGAUGAAGGCUUCUUCAGAAGAUUCACCACAGCAGGCAGGAGGAAAUCUUCCGGCUUCUGGAGAAAAUGAGGGAGGAGACUGAAGGAAGCCUUAGAGGAGAGCCUGCUGAACCCAGCCAAGAGCCUAUGAGGACACUCCUGCAAGGCACCGAACCCUGAGGAAGUAAUGAGAGGAGUAGAUGAGCUGGAAAGGCUUAGGGAAGAGAUAAGGGGAGGAAGGAACACGUUUGUGUUGAUGCAUUGGAAGCAAAGACUCCGGAAGCCGUCCUGACCCUGUGUGCUUCAGGCCUUGAAAUUGGUUUUUCUCUGAUAUUGAAAUGUGGCUGCUGCUUUCUUUCUCUUAGCAUUUUCUGAUGUUUCUUUGAACUUCAUUUUACUUUUAAUAAUAAUUACCUGGCGGUGUUUUCUGUUAUGUAGUUUUGUUGUUACCAGCAUCUAAUUGGAUUUUGGAAUUUUUGGACCCAUUUUCCAUGUUUAUCUUUCAGUUGGAAAGUUUCAUACUUGUGCAUGGAAAUAUACAAUUAAACAGCAGAUUGAAAAGCAACAUAUUUAGGAUCAGUUCACAUAUAUAGGAAAAUUCCUAAUUAUGUGUGUACAUGUAUAAUUAUACAUAUCAAAAAACUUAACAGCACUUAUUUUUGGUGUGGUGUGUUUUAAUUUUGCCUUUUGCUUAUGUUGAUUUUUUAAUGAAUACAUAUCUCAUAAAGAACUGCAGAUUUUUUAAUCAGUGGGAGUUAAUUAAAAUUAAUUUGUAACCAGCUUGUAGGGUCAAUAAAGGCACUAAACCUUUUGAUGAACUAUUAAAAAGAAAUGUAAACCUGAAAUUACCUCUUGGCUUGCUUAGCCAGAGGAAUAAAACUGACAAUCAUUAUU